AAUAAUAUAACGUAAUGCGCGAACGUGGCACCACUCGACGAUGACCAACGGACGUACACCGUUGUACAAUCACGCCAUGCCGCCUGACGCUAAUCAGAGGUAUAAAUAGGAGCCCGGCUCCUCGAUUUCGGCAUAACACAUUUUUUGUGCAAAUCUAUUCUUUGUCUUUUCUCUAUUUCACUCCACGAAAACCAACCAAAAUCAAAAAUGGGCGCUGAAAAGGUAUCCAUGAACAUCGUUGUCGUUGGACAAGUCCAAUCUGCCAAGGCCAUCAAGACCGUCGCCAAGGCCGCCCCAGCCACCAGCCAAUUGAUGAACUGUUAAUUCAACAUGUAAUUCAUACAUCGCAAAUCCAAAAAUGCCAUAGCCCAAACAAUACUUUUAUCUAAUCAAUAUUAUGUAUUGACAUUACAAAAUAAAUCAAUCUUUUCCGUAA